GAUUAACGCUGGCGGCGUGCCUAACACAUGCAAGUCGAACGAGGUAGCAAUACCUAGUGGCAGACGGGUGAGUAACGCGUGGUCAACCUACCGUUGAGUGGGGGAUAACUAGCCGAAAGGUUAGCUAAUACCGCAUACGUCUCCGAGUGGCAUCACUUGGCGAUAAAAGGAGCAAUCCGCUCGAUGACGGGACCGCGUCCCAUUAGCUAGAUGGUGGGGUAACGGCCUACCAUGGCACCGAUGGGUAGCUGGUUUGAGAGAGCGACCAGCCACACUGGGACUGAGAAACGGCCCAGACUCCUACGGGAGGCAGCAGUGAGGAAUUUUCCGCAAUGGGCGCAAGCCUGACGGAGCGACGCCGCGUGUGGGAAGAAGGCCUUCGGUCGUAACC
rnacentral:rRNA from 1 species